rnacentral:rRNA from 1 species
GCAUAUCAAUAAGCGGAGGAAAAAGAAACUAACCCAGGAUUCCCCCUAGUAACGGCGAGUGAAGCGGGAAGAGCUCAAAUUUGUAAUCUGGCGGUCUCAGGCCGUCCGAGUUGUAGUCUAGAGAAGCGUCUUCCGUGCCGGCCCGUGUACAAGUCCCUUGGAACAGGGCGUCAUAGAGGGUGAGAAUCCCGUCUUUGACACGGACUGCCGGUGCUCUGUGAUGCGCUCUCGAAGAGUCGAGUUGUUUGGGAAUGCAGCUCAAAACGGGUGGUAAAUUCCAUCUAAAGCUAAAUAUUGGCGAAAGACCGAUAGCGAACAAGUACCGUGAGGGAAAGAUGAAAAGCACUUUGGAAAGAGAGUUAAACAGUACGUGAAAUUGUUGAAAGGGAAACGCUUGAAGUCAGUCGCGUCUUCCGGGACUCAGCUGGACACUCGUGUCCGGUGUACUUCCCGGUCUGACGGGCCAGCAUCGAUUUCGAUCGUCGGAGAAAGGCUCAGGGAACGUGGCACCUCCGGGUGUGUUAUAGCCCUGGGUCGUAUGCGACGGUGGGGAUCGAGGAUCGCAGCACGCCUUCAUUGGCCGGGGUUCGCCCACGCAACGUGCUUAGGAUGCUGGCGUAAUGGCUUUAAGCGACCCGUCUUGAAACACGGACCAAGGAGUCUAACAUGCCUGCGAGUGUUUGGGUGGAAAACCCGGACGCGGAAUGAAAGUGAAAAGUUGGGACCUCUGUCGUGGAGGGCACCGACUCCCGGACCAGACCUUCUGUGACGGUUCCGAGGUAGAGCAUGUAUGUUGGGACCCGAAAGAUGGUGAACUAUGCCUGAGUAGGGUGAAGCCAGAGGAAACUCUGGUGGAGGCUCGUAGCGAUUCUGACGUGCAAAUCGAUCGUCGAACUUGGGGUAUAGGGGCGAAAGACUAAUCGAAACCAUCUAGUAGCUGGUUCCUGCCGA